rnacentral:ribozyme from 1 species
CAGCUGGAGGUAAUUGAAAUCCUGCAGAGGCGGAUGAAAAUCGAAAAAAGCCUCAGACAGUUCAUUACGGCUUGCGAGUACUUUUCGGGCGGUACGACCGUUGUGCAGCUAUUAAAACUUCCCUUGGGCCGUGUCCCGGCCUAUUCCAAAGCCCUGCACCUUCUCAUCGGGAGGG